AUAGGUUGCCGACCCCUGAGCUAAGAUCAAAGUAUAGUGUCUGUUCUUAUCAGCUUAAUCUCUGGUACGGUCUCCAUAGGGGACCCAGAAAAGCGCCACUAUAG
rnacentral:snRNA from 1 species